rnacentral:tRNA from 1 species
GGAGAGCUGGCCGAGUGGUUGAUGGCUCCGGUCUUGAAAACCGGCAUACUCGAAAGGGUAUCGGGGGUUCGAAUCCCUCGCUCUCCGCCA